rnacentral:lncRNA from 1 species
UGAGGUAGAAGACCCGAGUGAAGUGAAGAGGUAAGGUUUCCUGGCUAAAAUAAAAUAGAAUAUUUGCUCCGGAAGGUGAAAAACUAUUGAAUUGUUGAGAAUGUUUAGAAAGAUACAAGAGUAGUAGUAAGUAAUAUACACACAAGAGAGUUUCUAAGGAGAGAGAGAGCUUCACACAAAAGUCUAUUGAUCUAGUUGUGUCUUGUAUACAAGAGGAGAAAGGACGAGGAUAAACAGUUCGUCUCUACUAUAUUUCAAGUACUGUAGCUAUAGUACUUACUAUAGACUACUUACUAUAGACUACAGUAAAUAUUAUGGAGAGCGUCAGCUACAUUUAAUGCUCUCAACACUCC